UACGGAGGGGGCUAGCGUUGUUCGGAAUUACUGGGCGUAAAGCGUACGUAGGCGGCUUUGUAAGUUAGAGGUGAAAGCCCGGGGCUCAACUCCGGAAUUGCCUUUAAGACUGCAUCGCUUGAAUCAUGGAGAGGUGAGUGGAAUUCCGAGUGUAGAGGUGAAAUUCGUAGAUAUUCGGAAGAACACCAGUGGCGAAGGCGGCUCACUGGUCCGGUACUGACGCUGAGGUGCGAAAGCGUGGGGAGCAAACGGG
rnacentral:rRNA from 1 species